CCUGGUGGUUAUAUGCCGGGGGUCCCACCCGUUCCCAUCCCGAACACGGCCGUUAAGCCCCGAGCAGCCAAUGGUAGUUGGACGUAAGGUCCCGCGAGAGUAGGUUGUCGCCAGGU
rnacentral:rRNA from 1 species